CCCCAGAAGGAAGGGGGAACGUGCUCUGCGCCCCCCCGCCCCCCAACCCCCGCCUAGCCCCUUCACAGCAAAUGCGCUUUUUGCCCUGAAGUUGUGUGAGACCGACCUUAAACUUUCUCCGACCCUAUCUCGGGAUGCUACGGCUCAGGUCGUGGUGGUUUCGGGAACCUCAAGACAACAUUCCCCAGCUGACCUUUGGGAACUUUAACUCGGGUCGUCAUGUACGGAAAGGUAGUCUAUGGGGUACGCAGAAUGGAAAAGGGCUUCCACAUCAGUCGUGUCCGAGGACGCUCUCCAACUUUUGAUGUCCCUGGAGAGUUUCUGAUAUUUCCCUGGAGAGUUUCAGAAAGGAUUUCUUCCGACAGACGUGACCCCAGAAGGCUGCCGAGGGAGACUUUAGGACAAGAGGCGUUGUUUUUUUAGGGAAGGAAGAGGAGCCUGUGCAGAGUUGAACUGGGGUGGAGAGGUGCCUUGUAAAGUAUGGUUUCCAGAGAUGGUGAGACCUCGUAGCUAAGCGUUGUUUCCUCUGCACGUAACUGUGAGUUGUGAACUUGUGGCUCCUGGGGGAGCGGGACAGGGCCUGGCAGUGCGGGGGAGGGGGCAAGGAAUUCAGGAAGUUGGCGAGAAUUCUUCGUUUUUCAUUCUUCGUUGUAAAUUGCUUCUAAACACUUCUGAAUUUUAAAUUGCUACCGAGAAGGUCCAGAAACCGUUCUCAUCCAAUUUAGUCACUUUUAUUACGUUCCACUUUGCCUCCCCCAAUCACUGCGGCGGCUCCCAGUUUCAGCGUGGCCGCAUUUGGAAAAGGCUGAAGGUAGAAAACUCUGGAAUGGAGAGGCUGGCGACUGGAGCAGGAUCCAGGGGCUUUAAAUUUUAACCUGAAUGCGAUCGAAUGCGCGACUCCCAGAAGAGAUAGCCAGGCGUCCGCCCGGCCGCUCAACCCCCGCCAGGACUCGGAAUGCCUUGCUUUUGGUUCUUUUCGUGAGUUCCGACCAAAUGUUUAAGUGGACUGGGUUUUGCAGAAGCUCAUUUGUAAGCACUGACGGAAAUGGGUUGUGGGCAUUUGAUUUCCUUUGAUUCCAACGUUUUGAAAUAAUGUUUCUCGGAUUUGCUAUUCGAAGCAAUUUUCUAAAAACUCAUAUCUUAUUUGCUAAAAAUAAACUCUUUGGCUCAG
rnacentral:lncRNA from 1 species